rnacentral:rRNA from 1 species
AUGUAUGAAUACACCGGGAGCUUGAAGGACCCUCAACGACACAUUGAUAUUCAGCUUACAGAUGAUGAAGUUACCGAGGCUGUGAAGAAGAUGCUGAAUGAACCAGAGGCUAUUUGUAGCCAGACCGGAUUAAGUCCUUUCUGUACCUCCAACGAACCGCCAGCUGGUGAUGAUCCGUUCUGGAAGAAAAAACCACAGGAUAAACCGGCAAAACCACAAGACAAAGCGGCAAAGCCACUUCGCCCGAAGACCAAGGUUGUUAAAAAACCUGCCAAGAAAAGGACCACUGCGUCUUUCGAGCCAAAUGCGGAUGCCGAUGUGGCUAAUCCGGACUUAGAGGACGACGCUGAAAGCAGUCAAGCCGAUGACAUAGAGGUAAUUAUCCUUUCCCCCGGUUCAGAUCCUGUGCCAACCUUAAAAAUCCGCCGAGCAAACCGGAAAGUAAAAUUUUCUCACCCCCUUGCUUACUUGGACCCAAACUUUCUUUUGAAGACGCAACAACACGAAGCUCGCCGCACAACCCGGCACAACGGCCAGGUAGUUACCUCCGCCGGUUUACCGAAUACUCUGGUUCGGAAACGCCGAUCAGAGGUCUCUUAUACUCUUGACACUUCUUGCCCCAAGGCGGGUUGUUUUCGUCAGCCUCUUAACCCGUCUGAUUCAAAUUAUCAGGGUACUUCCCACUCAUCUUCUGGCGAGUCAUCAGCCACAAAGCUUCCACCCCUCAAAACAGUUCCUGGUGCCAAACCAAGACCCAGAAAGAAGGCUCGGCUAACUAAACCGGUUGACGAUAAUGUGGUUGUUGAACCGGAAAAGACUCUAGAUCCGGAAGAAACCAAUGCUGACGCCAUGCUUAAUGAUCCGCCGCCUCAAGGCCAUGACUUCUUUGCUGAACAAGUAUAA